GAAUCAACAAGUAUUCCAAUCGUUUGACGAUUACUCUUGGAAUCCAGAAGCUUAAAACAAUCUUCUGCCACAAUAAAUUUAGUUAGACCUUUCGAUUCGUGAUCAGAUUGAAGCAAUACUCUUCCAACUUGCUUUAAAAUACAAGCAUUCGUCGCAAACCAUCCAACUGUAUCGAAACUUUGUGCCAUAGGUAUAACUCCAUCAACUGAAACAACUCCAUGA
rnacentral:misc_RNA from 1 species